CAGCUAGAGAUCUCAUUAGAUGCUAAUUAGUAGAAUCGGGUGUGCCAGAUUCGGGUUGAAAUGAAAACCUACAGGACGGUAGAUCUCCAGGAACAGGAUUAUAUUUGUUCUGGUUUGAGUUGAGUGCUGUAUGGGAAGAACAAUUAAACAAAAAAAAUUAAUUAAUUAAAACUGAUAUUUUUACAUUUACGUUGUUUGUAUAUUGAUUACAUUUGCCAGAUACUUUGUACUUCAUAGAUUGAAGUUUGUAGAAGGGAUGAUAUACAUUAAGCAGUGAUAUUUUUAUUUCGGGACACAUGCAAUGUUAGUUUGCUGUACACAGAUUAGUUUUAAGGGACCUUAGUCCAAAUAAGUAGCAACGUAUCAAUGAGAUAAUGUGUUUGCUUAAAUAAAAAUAUUAAAUUACACAAUUAUGUUGUGUUUUUGCAACAAGACAUAACUGGACCAUGUUUUCCAGAACCCUGCACUCAAAGGCCAUGGUUGUUUGGGUUGUUUUCUGAUACUGUUGCAGUCAGUGUGGCAUGCGGCUGAGUAAGCGUGGAGGACGAGCUGUCAACAACGCAAUCCAGUGUUUUAACCUCACGAGUGAAAGGUUGUCUGUGAGCUCCGUAAACACAUCUUAGCCUGAUUCCGAAGCGCGUCAGGAACUCAGACUGCUCAUCCGCCAGCACGCCAGAGAAUCGCGCCAGGAUAACGCAGGGGUUGCGGGCAAAAAGGCAAGCUCAUCGCUCCCUUGUCUAAGAAGGUCCGCAUCAGCGGCUCCGCGGAAUGAGCGAGGCGCACCCCGCCCGUCUGUGUCCUGUUGCCGCGGUCUCGCGACGGCACAGUGCCAGAACGGAGACGUCCAAGCCGAGACGGGUCACAGCAGCUGCUGUUACAGAGCCUUUCGUUCCAAAACACAGACAGUCCCAGUGCUGAUUGGUCAGAGGAGUACAGCGCUCCUGACUGAAGGUUCUGAAUAGGCCUGAGGUCCUGACCCUGGUUCCAAUGAGAGAGCUGGGACCAGCAGGGCUUUGCUGGGGAGAAGCCCAGAAGGAAGCAGCAGCUUAUGACCCUUCACCAGAGUCCAUCAGCGUCAACACGUGGCUGACAAAUGCCAUCCAGUCACGUGACCAACGUUCAUCCAAUCACGUGACCAGAUGUCUCUCUCAGGACAUAGGCCCCACCUCAGCAGCUGAAGAGUUGCACCCACAGUAGCCUUCAGCAAGCUGCCAGACAGACGUAGUUCAAUCACCUUCAAUCAUAAAACUUGAGAGCGUUAGAUAACGAGUGUGUUUGAAUUAACACAAAUUAUCUUUUUCUUCUGUUAUUUGUAAAUGACUUGGGAAUGAAUGUUGUAUGUCACAAAAUUUGUUGUCUUUAAGUACUCUUCUAAUUAAAAUGAACUUGGCUGCUA